rnacentral:rRNA from 1 species
AUACGGAGGGUUCGAGCGUUAAUCGGAAUCACUGGGCAUAAAGCGCGUGUAGGCGGCUACUUAAGUCUGGUGUGAAAGCCCGGGGCUCACCCCCGGAAGUGCAUUGGAAACUGGGUGGCUAGAGUACCGGAGAGGAAAGCGGAAUUCCUGGUGUAGCGGUGAAAUGCGUAGAUAUCAGGAGGAACACCAGUGGCGAAGGCGGCUUUCUGGACGGAUACUGACGCUGAGACGCGAAAGCGUGGGGAGCAAACAGGAUUAGAAACCCGAGUAGUCC